UAUACAUUAGACCUUGUUAGUUUGCGAUCAGAAUAAACGAGGUAAAAGAAAGAUACGCGCUUCCAAAGAUUUUAUAAUUUUAAAAUACAAGAUCUCUCUCUCUUUCUUGGUCCCUCCAUGCUUUAAAUAUGGUUUCAGAUGAUUUUAAAACAAGGUCCAAGAAGUAAUUAAAUAACAGGUUGAAUUAAUUCCAUUAUCCUUGGAUCGGAGACCAAAACGCAAUAAAACAAUAUGAUUGUUAUGUUACAAUUGUAACUAUUAUAACAGCGGUUAAUAAUGUAGGAUUCAAGGAUUUGCCAAUGUAUACUUUCGCACAAUGACUUGAAUGUUUCGUGAUGUCGAACUGCAACAUCCACUUAAUUCAGGCAUGAUGAUAUAUUGAUAAGAAUGAAACUUAGAAAAGCAAUUACUAACACAUUCCUAAGUUAAUUACUCGAGGCACGCAAGAAUAAAAAAGCAUGAUAAUCUACCAUAAAAUUAUUGAAUAAAUAAUGAUUUGAGACUCUCGUCGCAAUUAGUUGCCCAAUAGUAGCAAUUAGCGCGGUAUAUUACCGUAAUUGUUAGAAAAAAUUAAGCUUAAUUCGCAAAUAAGAACACUAUGAAGUCUAGUUAUUUUAGCUGUAUGCACUCUAAUAAUAGAAAACAAUAAUGUUCCGCAUCAAAAUGACAUAACGUAUAUAUGAUGAAAAUUAAUUUUAAUGCAUAAUUCCAGAAUUGCUAUAUAAAAUAAUAGUACACAUUUCUCUUGUAGGUUUUUGCAAGAACAGCAAAAUAUGUAAUAUGUAAUUAUUUAAUUUAAUAUCAGAAACAAAAU